GCUGGGCAUGGUGGCGCGUGCCUGUAAUCCCAGCUACUCGGGAGGCUGAGGCAGGAGAAUUGCCUGAACCCAGGAGGCGGAGGUUGCGGUGAGCCGAGAUCGCGCCAUUGCACUCUCCAGACUGGGUAAUAAGACCGAAACUCCGCCUCAAAAAAAAAAAAAAAAAAAUAUAUAUAUAUAUAUAUAGAGAGAGAGAGAGAGAGUUGAGGACUUUCUUUUUUUUUUUUUUUUCUUUUUCUUUUUUUUGAGGCGGAGUUUUGCUCUUGUUACCCAGGCUGGAGUGCAAUGGCGCGAUCUCGGCUCACCGCAACCUCCGCCUCCUGGGUUCAGGCAAUUCUCCUGCCUCAG
rnacentral:SRP_RNA from 1 species